rnacentral:lncRNA from 1 species
GAGCUCUCUGAAGUCUUGUUUGCAGAACUGUCUGCAAGGCUGCUUGUCACCUUCGAAUAUACUCCAUCAACAUGCUGCCACUUCAUCUUGUUUAGGCUCUUCGACUGCUUUAUAGAAGGACACUGAAGUCCACAUCUAUCUCCUUGAGACAGGCAAAGAAACAAAUCCUUUAUCCUGUCUCAAAAAGAGCUGACAAGCUUUUAGUAGUGUUUAUCUUCACUGAAGGGUGAUAACCUUGAAAAUGAAAGUGAAAAGAGACUGAUACAAUUAGUACAGAUGGACUAAGGGGGCGCAAACCCCCCUGGGUGAAACAACAAAAAGAAAAACAGAUAAAAUAUAUUAAACAACAGCUCUCAAGAUACUAGCAUCAGGCAACAAACCAAAGUGAUCCCUGUGAGAUAGUAAACAAAUGAGGUGAACCCUAUGACAGGUGCAACUUACUGCUUUGCAGAGUUUCCAGGCCAUGACACUAAGAGGAGAUAUCCAAGCAGAGCCCAGUGAAUGACCCAGAUUGAGGAGACAGAGCUGAAAGUCCAAGAAGACCCAAGGCAGCUGGAAUUUGCAAGACCGAGUACCAGAGAAAAGAGGGCUGAGCAGAGAUAGAAUUCCAGAGAUUUGUAAAGGGUCUCCCUUAAGUAUUUAGCAGAGUAUUAAUCAUUGUAGGCAUUUGAGGCAGUUACCUGUGGCCAGGAAAAAAACCACCCAAGAGGAUUAAAGGAAACAGUGUUUUAGCACUCACACAAGGCCAGAAAUAGCCUAUUUUCCCAUCCAGAUUGACUUAACUUCGUAAUUUGUGGGGCUUUGGGUAAAAAAGUCUACUCAUUAGUUAGUCUUACCUCAGUAGUAGGGAAUAAGUAGAUGUAGACUAAACACUAUACUGGUACCACCAAAAAAGCUUUAAAAACAGACUUAAAAGAAGUAAAUGCUUUUCAAGUAAUUUAACUGCAUCCUAGAACAAAAGACAUGCAAUUGGAGUCCCUGAAAGGAGGAUGUGAGAAAAAAUAUUACAGGAAAUAAUGACUAAAAUUGUUUCAAAUUUGAUGAAAGGAUAGACACAAGAAACUCAACAAAACUCAAAGCGUACAAGAAACAUGAAGAAGCCAGGUGCAGUGGCUCAUACUUGUAGUCCCAGCUGCUUGGGAGGCUGAGGCAGGAGGAUCUCUUGAGCCCAGUAGAUUGAAUCUGCAGUGAGCUGUGAACGCACCACUGUACUCCAGCCUGGGAGACAGAGCAAGACCCUAUCAAAAAAAAAAGGAAGAGACAUGAAGAAAACUACACUAAGGCACACAAUAAUCAAACUGCUCAAAAUCAGUGAUAAAGUGAAAAUCUUAAAUGCAACCAGAAGGAAAAAGACAUUAUAUACAGAGAAACAACGAUAAGGAUGACAUUAGAUUUAACUUCAGUAAUAAUGCAAUCCAGAAAACAGUGGAACAACAUUUUUAAAGUGCUGAAAGAAAAAAGCUAGAAUUCUACUCUCAGUAAAAAUGUCUUUAUAAGAAUUUUUUUCCUUUUUUUCUUUUUUCCUUGAGAUGAAGUCUCACUCUGUUGCCCAGGCUGUUCUUGAACUCCUGAGCUCAAACAACUCUCUGCCUUGGACUCCUAAAGUGCUGGGUGGGAUUACAGGCGUGAACCACCGUGCCUGGCCAGGACAUUUUUGGACAUACGAAGCUGAAAGAGUUCAUCACCAGCAAAUCCAUACUACAAAAAAUGUUAAAGAAAUUCUUCAGGCAGAAGAAAAAUACCCUAUAUGAAAAUUUUAAUCUGCACAAAUAAAUGAAGAGAACCAAAAAUGGUAAUACAUGGCAUGAUUGUUAAUUUUAUGUGCCAACUUAGUGGCCAUGAGGUGCCCAGAUUAAACAUUAUUCCUGGAUGUGUUUGUGAGGGUGUUUCUGAAUGAGAUUACAUUUGAAUCAGCGGACUCAGUAAAGUAGAUUGCCCUCCCAGUGUGGAUGGGCCUCAUCCAAUCUGUUAGGAGCCUAAAUGGAAUAAAGUGUGGCAGAAAGGAAAAUUCACCCCUUUUGCUUCCUGCCUGUCUGGUUGAACUGAGACAUCUCAUCCCAUCUUCCCUAGCACUCAGAUUGGGAUUUACAACACCAGGUCCCUUGGUUCUCAGGCCUUUGGACUUGGACUGAAUUACACCACUGCUUUCCGCGGUCUCCCAACUCGUGGAUGGCAGACUGUGGGACUUCUUAGCCUCCAUAAUCAUCGGAGCCAAUUUCUCAUAAUAAACAUAUUUACUAUACCCUACUGGCUCUGUUUCUUUGGAGAACUCUGACCAAUACACAUGAGUAAAUACAUAAAGUAUUUUUUCUUAUUUACAUCUAUUAAAAGAUAGUUGACUGUUUACCCAACAGUAGUAACAAUGUGUUUGGGGGUUUAUAAUAUAUGUAAAGGUGAAAUGCAUAAUACUAACAGCAUAAAUGCAGGCAAGGGAGAAAAGGAAGUCUACUGUUAUAAAUUUAUUGUACUAUACAUGAAGUCC